CCCACCUGUCCAACCCUAAUCUUCUUCGACGAAGACGGCGAUCGUGUCUGGCUCUUCCAUUCCCUGCAAUCUCUGUUUCUUCUCUGUAUUUAUCACAAAGUCUGGAUCAUUAACUUCUGUUCUUCAAUCCUUUCUUAGUGGUUUUGUUCCACCUCCCCCAUUGUUGCUUCUCCUAUUUAAAUCCUUCCCUCAAAUGUUACGUCAAACCAAAAUCUACCUCCUUGAGAGAAGAUCAGGCUAUGGCAAUGAAACCUGCGAAAUCCACCGGAAAGUCACCCCACCCUCGAAUUUAAUGACCUCUCACCAGGUCAGCCGAAUCGGAACUCCGAUUAAUCGAAUUUCUGGGAGUUGAGAAACACAGAAAAAUGUUGGAUUCUUAUUGGCUUGGAACUGCUCCUCAUCUUUGAACAAAAAAAGGUAUAGCCAUUAUUCUUAAUUUUGUGAUUACACUCACUGUCAAGAUGCUCGAUAUAUUAUAUCAGCUACUACUGUAUAGAGUUAGUUAAGUCAAAUCGGUAAAUCUGUUACACAUGUAUGUCAUAUCAGGCCAAUAGACCAUAAGCAAGAAGUACCACAUGAUGGUGCUAUGUGUGACCUCCUAUGGUCGGAUCCUAAAGAUACUGUUGAUGAUUAGGGGUUGAGAUCAAUGUGUGCUAGAUUCUUUUUUGGCAGCUGUGUUUUCAUGUCUUUUAACCACACACAACAACAUAGAUCAAGCCCACAACAUAGACUACACCAGAACAAGUUAAUAUCAGAUUUUACUGUGCCUUUCUUUGAAGCAUCCUAUUUAGUCGCUGCGCACUUCUUACUUUUCUUGUGGAUAUCUGUCUAGAUUUUUUUUUUUAAACUCUGUACCGCAAGAAAAAAAUGUUAUUGUUACAACUUACAACCCAUGGAAGCAUGAGACCGUUCAUAUGAAGAGAAGAUUGUUUGACAAAGGAUUGGUUGUAAAUUCUGAUGGAGAAUAAGUAAAUGGUGUUUCCUCUGCCGCAGUUGGUCUUCAUUGUAUUGGACCUGUUGAUAAAUCACACAACCUUUUUGACCCAGAGUACGGUGAUGGCGGCUGUCACUUCCUUACUCAGUGAUGGAAUACACAUUGGGGUUUUAGUCCGAGGGAAGAAGGCUAGAGAUGAGAACAAGUCAACAACUCUCUAUCACAGAGUGGUCGUUCGUGUAGAGAAAAUCCAGGCAACCUAGGCUUCACCUUGGAGCUUGGUCCCGGAAAACUGGAUGGAUUCAAGCGCAAGGCUAUGAAGGGGGUCAGGCUCAACAUAAUCAAGUUAGAAUUAUAAGGAACUUUUCAACUCAUUGGGAACCUCCUCCUCAACGUUGGUACAAACUCAAUUUUGAUAGCAGUUUUCGGGUAUCCUCUCAUUGUGUUGGUAUAGGCUGGAUCCUUCGGGACUAUGAAGGUAAAUAUAUUGCAGUAGGUACAUCGCAGGUUCAUAAUGUUCAUUCUGCUUUCCAAGCAGAAGCAGCGGCUUUCCUUCUUUCCCUUCAGUUUGUAUGGAGUAGUGGUUGGAGACAGGUUUGGUUUGAGAAUGAUUGUAAAGGUUUGGUCGACAUAAUUAAUCAGGGACUUGACAGUGUGGAACUGGGGAAUUUACUAUCGAAAAUUAGGCAUUGGAUGAGCAAACUUCCACUGUGUUCUAUUGAUUCCAUUCAUCGUGAGAAGAAUCAAGCCGCAGAUGCCUUGGCUAAGAAGUCUUAUGAUUAUCAUGAUUAUUCUAGAUUUAAUGUACCUCCUG